rnacentral:sRNA from 1 species
UUUGCAUUGGCCAGACGUUAUCGACUCAUUUGAUUUUGUAAGUUCAUUGAAAAUCUUGUUCGUUAGUCCGAUUGUCUUGAUACGUUUUUUUAUGGAGACUGAAUUGCAGAUUCGCCGUCAAGUUCAGAGAUGGGAAAAGCUAGUCGCCAGAUUCCGAUUUACGUCGAUACGUUCGGAGAAGAUAGUUCGGUAGAGACGGAUGUCAAUGUAUCCGCCGUUGUAACCGAACAACAACAGGUGGUGACAAAGGUUUCAGAGAGUGGUGUGAUCGAGACUAACCGCCGGGCUGCUAGCGAGGAUAGGAUGACGCGACUUUCAGAUGCUCAAGCUAGGAA